AUGCAGCUUCUCCGCUUAGGAAGAGGGACCGGGAGACUAGAACUCCUAUGGAGAGCAGGAAACCAGUCAUCAUUGGACAUCCCCCUGAAGUGCCUCCUUAGGCCACCCCACAUGCUUCAGGUGACCCAGGGGGGUCCAUGCUGGCACCACCAGCACAGCAGAUUGCAGUCAGGGGCAGGAAGUGCCAGCUCCUCAUCAAUCCUACGCAGCAACAGACCAUGUCAAAGAUUAUAUAAAGCCUUUACAGAAACCUGCAUUUGCAGCUUUUUAAGAAGGUAUGACCCUGACUGUCCAAGGACUGGGAUACACAGAUGACACGAGACCACACCAACCAAAAAUCAGGUUGUAAAAGACUUUGAAACAUGGUUUUGAAUAGUACUGGAGGCAAUCCAAAGACAAAUUUAAUUUGAAUUUUUUGUCUUAGCUGAUACAAAUUCAACAAGAGCGAAAAUAUGUUCUGUAGGUCUUCUUAGGCACCUUACUACAUAGGAGAAACUGUAAGUGCAGAAUUUGAAACUUAAGCACAUCCUUAAUGAGGAUACAACUGAAAUAAAACUACUUCCAAGGUCAGUAUUAAUCCAAUACUUCUGGAGUCAGACUGCAUGGCCUGUGCAUGAGAAGAAAAACGGUAGAUGAUGCUCCCUGAUGAGGGACCAGGACAGGCAGGUAUAAUGGUCAAACAGAAACAUGACGCCUUCUCCAAUCUCCUGCCAUUGGUUCCAGCAGAGAGAGGGGCUGGCUGGCAUGAACACCCUGUCCAUUGACCCGUACUGCCUCCCAGUGGGCAUCGGCUACUUCUCUUUCGGGAUAAAACGCAGGGGGGUUUAAAAUGCCUGGUACAGAAGCCAUUGUCCUCGGAUAGCUAAUGGGGGAGGUCACUGACAGCAAGACUUUGGGUAUCUAAAACCACAACGACAAAAUUCUUGCUCAUCUUCCAAGUGUGUAGCUCUCUGUGAAAUCACGGAUGCAUGGUUUACUUUUGCCUAUGUUCAUGCAGAACAUACACCUCCGUAAGAAAAAAAAAACCCCAAACCGGUUUCAGCCGGCAGCCUUACAAAUGUGAGUUCUCAUCAUAUCAACUUGCACACAGACGGCUCUGUCCCCACCACUCUCAGCUCUGAGGAGCAGCAGCAGAGUGGUAUCACAUCCCAUGGCUGUACCCUCCAUGCAGUGCUAUGAGUAACUUUUUUUUUCUUCUCACUUUUUUUGAAUGUGCUGAGAGCAACAGCACAGGACAUUAAAAUGGGAUGCCAAAAAUGAAGAAUGAAACAACAUGAGGAAAGAGCACUGUUUGCUGCUGUAAGGUCUCCACAAAGGAGUGAAGGAAGAGUUGGGGAAACGCUUUUGUACUUCUUUGACAGCCUACAGACUUUCACAGUUUACAGCCUCAACUUGCCUGUUCCUUCUGGGCUCAGCAAGACAAGAGAUCUGUUCAGAGCUGGGCACCUCAACUCUAUGUGUUAACUCUAACCCAAAAAACCCCUAACAAUCCCUCCCAGCCUUGUGCAGAUGUUGUUACCUACCUGAAAACAGUCACCUGAAUCUUUGUUUUGGGAUAUUUGUGUGGUUGCUGCAACUUCAGACAGGGAGCGGGCUUUGGGGAAAACAGUUCUGUGCUCCUGUGGAAGUCACAGACACUUGUAAGGAUUAGAGCUGUUGCCCGUGCCUUAAACUUUGCAUUUGUCUAUGUCUCAUACCUUGAUCUUACAGAAUGGGGAAGAAAAAGACACCACUCAGUGCUGUAGCACAAGUUUCAUGAAUAAACAAAGCCUUCUAUGUCUAGGUGUGUCCAACUACAAAGGUCACUUAGGUGUGGGGGGUUUUUUUCCUCCAAAGUUAUCCUGUUCAGGUUGUAAUAUCCUGUUUCAUUGCUGCAGUCCUUGUCGUUGAAAGUCAAUGUUCAGGAUCCAUGCAUCUGAUAUCCUCCCAGUGCCCUUAAGAAAUAGAACUGAAAAACAUUAGAGCAAGGGGAUAGUACUGAAUACACAGAAAAGGCAAAAGUAGUAUUAUAUUGGAAGUACUGGUUUUGCAUCACUCUGGUUUUUGGAGAGCUUGCAUUAUCAGGUUUCUGUGUGUGUGCGCACGUGUGACAUUCCUUCAAAGAAGGAAAUAGGAUGCCUAACUUUCAGUGCAGAAAAUUAGUAACAAAAUAACGCACAAGCUACGGGUCUGAUACCAUCUCUGUAAUCUUGUGCUUAAUCUGCUAUCCCCAAGAAAAAUCUGUUGACUUUCCAGUUCUACUCUGCC
rnacentral:lncRNA from 13 species